CAUUAUCUUAGCGGCGGACGGGUGAGUAACACGUGGGCAACCUGCCCUGCAGAUCGGGAUAACUCCGGGAAACCGGUGCUAAUACCGAAUAGUUUGCGGCCUCUCAUGAGGCUGCACGGAAAGACGGUUUCGGCUGUCACUGCAGGAUGGGCCCGCGGCGCAUUAGCUAGUUGGUGAGGUAACGGCUCACCAAGGCCACGAUGCGUAGCCGACCUGAGAGGGUGAUCGGCCACACUGGGACUGAGACACGGCCCAGACUCCUACGGGAGGCAGCAGUAGGGAAUCUUCCGCAAUGGACGAAAGUCUGACGGAGCAACGCCGCGUGAGUGAAGAAGGUUUUCGGAUCGUAAAACUCUGUUGUGAGGGAAGAACAAGUACCAACUAACUACUGGUACCUUGACGGUACCUCACCAGAAAGCCACGGCUAACUACGUGCCAGCAGCCGCGGUAAUACGUAGGUGGCAAGCGUUGUCCGGAAUUAUUGGGCGUAAAGCGCGCGCAGGCGGUCCUUUAAGUCUGAUGUGAAAGCCCACGGCUCAACCGUGGAGGGUCAUUGGAAACUGGGGGACUUGAGUGCAGAAGAGGAAAGUGGAAUUCCACGUGUAGCGGUGAAAUGCGUAGAGAUGUGGAGGAACACCAGUGGCGAAGG
rnacentral:rRNA from 1 species